CCGAGCCCAGGCUGCCAAAGUGGAGCAUGCUGAACUUAACUGCUAGGCCACAGGGCCAGCCCCGGGAAUGCUGUUAUUGAUUGCUGUGCUUCAACAAGUGUUAAUCGAUCUGUUCCAGGCAAACCAGAAGAUGACAAGAUGGAGCCUCAGAGAGAGAGAGAGGAGGUUUGCGGUCACACAGCCAGAAGGUGGCAAAGCUGGUCUGGGAAGCCAGAUCAUUGGAUCCCAAAUCCUGGACUCCAGAGGUGGAGAAGUACCACCCACCUCCCUGACCCCUCCAAUACCGCAGAGUCUUAUUGUCUAGCCUUUCAGGGAAGACGGGCAUCCCCGCCAUCCUGCCACCCCGCCAUCCUGCCACCUCGCCAUCCCGCCCCC